rnacentral:miRNA from 1 species
AAAAAAACGAGAAGGGCCGCUAUGAGACGGUGGAACGCUUCUCAACUUUUAUAACCGGUACUCAGUCAGUACAUUCAUAUGUACAAACACAUUUGAAUGUAUGUAUGCAUGUAACCUUUGUGUCAUAAAUUCAUAUGUAUGUAUGUAUAAAAGUUGAGAAGCGUUCCACCGUCUCAUAGCGUCCAUUCUCGUUUUUUUU